UUUGUGGAACGUAUACCAAAAUGCAAUUUUGUCACUCUUUUAAUAAUUACAAACUAUAUAUAUAAUAAAGAAAGGAAAAUUGAACAAUACACUUAUACACCGAUAAGGAUCUAAAGUGGACAAUAUUUUGAAUUAACAUUCUUUCUCCAACGCUUCAACAAAAAAAAGAAAAAAAACAUUCCUUCUCCAGUAAUUGGUCGACAGGGUGGUUGCAGAUUCUGGCAAAAGACUCAGAAAAAAACUUGAACAACAAUCUUUGGUUCUCCUGAUCUUCUCUCAUCAAAUUUUGAAGAUCUACAAGAAAUAUGUUGAGCGACAUGUCCAAGAAAGAGAGCUGUACUCCAUUGCACUCUACAUGUUCGAAGAAAUGCGCCAGUUGGGCAUCGCAGCUGAAUGGUACAUGAUGAACAUCGGUAUCAACUGUUGCUACCUUCUGAAGCGCCUGGACGUCGGAUACAAAGAAAGGAGGAAGAUAUGCUUUCACAAAAAAAAAAAAUGUCAGGGUGAAGGGCUCAUUGCUACCUCUCGAGCAAUGGUUGUGUUCUUGAAGCUAAUCUUUCUUUUAGUAUUCUAUCUAUUUUCCUCGAGCACAUUUGAAAAGGUUGUAGCUGUAUGUAUAUGCUAUAUCCAGUUUAGGUGAUUGCUGAUAGAAGAUGUGCUUAUUUAGUUUAUGCACAAGUGUUUUGUUAGUGGGAGUCAUUAAUUAUAGUGAUUUUAUCUAUAUCACAGGAGAAAGAUAUGUUAGAUAUGAAUUGUGCUUUUAUAUCAUUUAGCUGAUUACAAGGUUACUCCA